rnacentral:lncRNA from 1 species
AGAAUCAGAACUAGUGAUAACAACAACCAAUCAUGAGUCAUUUGAUCAAGAACAAGUAAUAAGUAUUCCUUUAUCACUUGAUGAGUCUGCUAGCUUAAGUAAUCAUUUAUCACAUAAUGAGUAUGUUGAUUUAAGCAAGCAUCUAUUACCCAGUGAGUCCACUUAUUUUAGUCUUCUUAUAGUCCUUAUAAAAUCAAUU